rnacentral:rRNA from 1 species
GGUCAAGUUAUUAAGGGUGCAGGGCGGAUGCCUUGGCACCGGGAGCCGAUGAAGGACGUGAUAAGCUGCGAUAAGCUAUGGGGAGUUGCACGUAAACUUUGAUCCAUAGAUUUCCGAAUGAGGAAACUCACCAUGAGUAAUGUCAUGGUAUCUUCGAGUGAAUACAUAGCUCGUUGAGGGGAACUCGGGGAACUGAAACAUCUAAGUACCCGAAGGAAGAGAAAGAAAUUCGAUUCCGCUAGUAGCGGCGAGCGAACGCGGAACAGCCCAAACCUAAGAAGUUCGCUUCUUAGGGGUUGCGGACAUAUCAUCAGGAAGAGGUUAUUACAGACGAAGAGUUUUGGAAAGCUCCGCCACAGAAGGUAACAGCCCUGUAGUCGAAGUGAGAAGACUUCCGAUAUGAUCCAGAGUACCACGGGACACGUGAAACCCCGUGGGAAGCAGGAGGGACCACCCUCCAAGGCUAAAUACUACCCGGUGACCGAUAGCGCAUAGUACCGUGAGGGAAAGGUGAAAAGAACCCCGGGAGGGGAGUGAAAUAGAACCUGAAACCCUGUACUUACAAACUGUGGAAGCACAUUUCUUGUGUGACCGCGUACUUUUUGUAGAACGGGCCAACGAGUUACGUUAUGCAGCAAGGUUAAGUACUUCAAGUAUGCAGCCGCAGCGAAAGCGAGUUUUAACUGAGCGUUUAGUUGCAUGACGUAGACCCGAAACCGGGUGACCUAUCCAUGAGCAGGUUGAAGCGAAAGUAAAAUUUCGUGGAGGACCGAACCCACGAGCGUUGAAAAGCUCGGGGAUGACUUGUGGAUAGCGGUGAAAUUCCAAUCGAACCCGGAGAUAGCUGGUUCUCCCCGAAAUAGCUUUAGGGCUAGCCUCAGAUUCAGAGAUACGGAGGUAGAGCACUGAAUGUCCUAGGGGGUAUUGCACCUACCGAAGACUAUCAAACUCCGAAUGCCGUCAUCUUUUAUCUGGGAGUCAGACCGUGGGUGAUAAGAUUCACGGUCGAGAGGGCAACAGCCCAGACCGUCGGCUAAGGUCCCCAAAUGUAGGUUAAGUGGUAAAGGAUGUGGGAUUGCACAGACAACCAGGAUGUUGGCUUAGAAGCAGCCACUCAUUCAAAGAGUGCGUAAUAGCUCACUGGUCGAGUGAUCCUGCGCCGAAGAUUUCCGGGGCUAAAACCUACUACCGAAGCCACGGCAUCAUUUAUGAUGGGUAGGGGAGCUUUCUUUACUGGGCAGAAGCAUGACCGUAAGGACAUGUGGACUGUAAAGAAGUGAGAAUGUUGGCAUGAGUAGCGAGAUGUGGGUGAGAAUCCCACAGGCCGUAAACCCAAGGUUUCCAGGGGAAGGUUCGUCCUCCCUGGGUUAGUCGGGACCUAAGCCGAGGCCGAAAGGCGUAGGUGAUGGACAACAGGUUGAAAUUCCUGUACCGCCAAUAAGCGUUUGAGAAAUGGGAUGACACAGUAGGACAGGAUGAGCGUGCUGUUGGUUAUGCACGUCCAAGCACUGAGGCAGUAUCCGGAGGCAAAUCCACGGAUAUAAUGCUGGGGUGUGACGGGGAGCGAAAUUUAGUAGCGAAGCAUCUGCAUUCACACUGUCGAGAAAAGUCUCUAUCGAGUUUAAAGGCGCCCGUACCGCAAACCGACACAGGUGGGUGAGGAGAGUAUCCUAAGGCCAGCGAGAGAACUGUUGUUAAGGAACUCGGCAAAAUGACCCCGUAACUUAGGGAUAAGGGGUGCCAUCGAAAGAUGGCCGCAGAGAAUAGGCCCAAGCGACUGUUUACCAAAAACAUAGGUUUCUGCUAAGUCGCAAGACGAUGUAUAGGAGCUGACGCCUGCCCGGUGCUGGAAGGUUAAGGGGAUCUGUUAGAGCAAUCGAAGCAGUGAACUUAAGCCCCAGUAAACGGCGGCCGUAACUAUAACGGUCCUAAGGUAGCGAAAUUCCUUGUCGGGUAAGUUCCGACCCGCACGAAAGGCGUAACGAUUUGGGCACUGUCUCAACAACAGACUCGGUGAAAUUGUAAUUCCGGUGAAGAUGCCGGAUACCUGCGACAGGACGGAAAGACCCCAUGGAGCUUUACUGUAGCUUGGCAUUGGGUCUUGGUACUACAUGUACAGCAUAGGUGGGAGGCUUUGAUUCCAGGACGCCAGUUUUGGAUGAGCCACCGUUGGGAUACCACCCCUGUAGUACUGGGACUCUAACCAGAGGCCUUGAAUCAGGUCUUGGGACACUGUCAGGCGGGCAGUUUGACUGGGGCGGUCGCCUCCCAAAAGGUAACGGAGGCGCUCAAAGGUUCUCUCAGCACGGUCGGAAAUCGUGCAUAGAGUGUAAAGGCAUAAGAGAGCUUGAUUGCAAGACAUACAGGUCGAGCAAGGACGAAAGUCGGACUUAGUGAUCCGGUGGUUCUGAGUGGAAGGGCCAUCGCUCAACGGAUAAAAGCUACCCUGGGGAUAACAGGCUUAUCUCCCCCAAGAGUCCACAUCGACGGGGAGGUUUGGCACCUCGAUGUCGGCUCAUCACAUCCUGGGGCUGUAGUAGGUCCCAAGGGUUGGGCUGUUCGCCCAUUAAAGUGGUACGCGAGCUGGGUUCAGAACGUCGUGAGACAGUUCGGUCCCUAUCCGUCGCAGGCGUAGGAAAUUUGAGAGGAUCUGCCCUUAGUACGAGAGGACCGGGGUGGACGUACCGCUGGUGUACCAGUUGUCUCGCCAGAGGCAUGGCUGGGUAGCUAUGUACGGAACGGAUAAGCGCUGAAAGCAUCUAAGCGCGAAGCCAGCCUUAAGAUAAGAUUUCCCAUUCUUCGGAAGUAAGACCCCAUGAAGACUACGUGGUUGAUAGGUCAGAGGUGGAAGUGCAGUAAUGUAUGUAGCUUACCGAUACUAAUAGGUCGAGGACUUGACCAA